UUCCCCUUCGCAGAUUGCCGCCGUCUUUGGAGCAGAGCGAAAGAGAUCUCACGGUGGAGGAAACAGGGAGGCGCCGCCGUGCAGCGAGAAGCUACCGCCGCCGUGAAGUUACCACCGCCGUUGCGCGCUCCGUCACCGCUACUGCUGGGGCUGCGCCGCCGUGACCGAGCUUCUACCGCUCGAAACCCGCCGCCAUUGCCACUAGAAAUCGCCACCAAGGCCUAAGUCAGUUUGGACCAUCAGAGCUUCCGGCCGUUAUUGGAGCUGUUGUCCGGUCAAUUUAGAAGCUGCUACUGUGUCGUUCUAUUCUGUUUAUCAUGAUAUGUGGUUGUUGCUGUGAUCCCUGCGGUUGAUUGGGAAUUUCUGCGGUUGCUGCCGAUUAACAUGAGAAUAAGGAUUUAAUGGGUUUAAUUAUGCAACUUGCGACUAAUUGAGCUUUACCCUUUUCAGGAACCAAAUGAAGAGGCAUUAAGGAGAGUUAUACUGCGUUUGGUUUAUAUGUUGUUGUAUUAAUUAGAUUAUUUUCUUCCCUCA